ACACAUGCAGUCGAGCGGAACGAUACCAGCUUGCUGGUAGGCGUCGAGCGGCGGACGGGUGAGUAAUACUUAGGAAUCUACCUAGUAGUGGGGGAUAGCUCGGGGAAACUCGAAUUAAUACCGCAUACGACCUACGGGAGAAAGGGGGCAGUUUACUGCUCUCGCUAUUAGAUGAGCCUAAGUCGGAUUAGCUAGAUGGUGGGGUAAAGGCCUACCAUGGCGACGAUCUGUAGCUGGUCUGAGAGGAUGAUCAGCCACACCGGGACUGAGACACGGCCCGGACUCCUACGGGAGGCAGCAGUGGGGAAUAUUGGACAAUGGGGGAAACCCUGAUCCAGCCAUGCCGCGUGUGUGAAGAAGGCCUUUUGGUUGUAAAGCACUUUAAGCAGUGAAGAAGACUCCUCGGUUAAUACCCGUGGACGAUGACAUUAGCUGCAGAAUAAGCACCGGCUAACUCUGUGCCAGCAGCCGCGGUAAUACAGAGGGUGCAAGCGUUAAUCGGAAUUACUGGGCGUAAAGCGAACGUAGGUGGCUUGAUAAGUCAGAUGUGAAAUCCCCGGGCUUAACCUGGGAACUGCAUCUGAAACUGUUAGGCUAGAGUAGGUGAGAGGAAGGUAGAAUUCCAGGUGUAGCGGUGAAAUGCGUAGAGAUCUGGAGGAAUACCGAUGGCGAAGGCAGCCUUCUGGCAUCAUACUGACACUGAGGCUCGAAAGCGUGGGUAGCAAACAGGAUUAGAUACCCUGGUAGUCCACGCCGUAAACGAUGUCUACUAGUCGUUGGGUCCCUUGAGGACUUAGUGACGCAGCUAACGCAAUAAGUAGACCGCCUGGGGAGUACGGCCGCAAGGUUAAAACUCAAAUGAAUUGACGGGGGCCCGCACAGCGGUGGAGCAUGUGGUUUAAUUCGAUGCAACGCGAAGAACCUUACCUGUCUUGACAUAUCUAGAAUCCUGCAGAGAUGCGGGAGUGCCUUCGGGAAUUAGAAUACAGGUGCUGCAUGGCUGUCGUCAGCUCGUGUCGUGAGAUGUUGGGUUAAGUCCCGCAACGAGCGCAACCCUUGUCCUUAGUUACCAGCGGGUUAAGCCGGGAACUUUAAGGAUACUGCCAGUGACAAACUGGAGGAAGGCGGGGACGACGUCAAGUCAUCAUGGCCCUUACGACCAGGGCUACACACGUGCUACAAUGGUAGGUACAGAGGGCAGCUACACAGCGAUGUGAUGCGAAUCUCAAAAAGCCUAUUGUAGUCCAGAUUGGAGUUUGCAACUUGACUCCAGAAGUAGGAAUCGCUAGAAUCGCGGAUCAGAA
rnacentral:rRNA from 1 species